AGUGAACGCUGGCGGUAGGCCUAACACAUGCAAGUCGAACGGCAGCACAGUAAGAGCUUGCUCUUACGGGUGCGAGUGGCGGACGGGUGAGGAAUACAUCGGAAUCUACUUUUUCGUGGGGGAUAACGUAGGGAAACUUACGCUAAUACCGCAUACGACCUACGGGUGAAAGCAGGGGAUCUUCGGACCUUGCGCGAUUGAAUGAGCCGAUGUCGGAUUAGCUAGUUGGCGGGGUAAAGGCCCACCAAGGCGACGAUCCGUAGCUGGUCUGAGAGGAUGAUCAGCCACACCGGAACUGAGACACGGUCCAGACUCCUACGGGAGGCAGCAGUGGGGAAUAUUGGACAAUGGGCGCAAGCCUGAUCCAGCCAUACCGCGUGGGUGAAGAAGGCCUUCGGGUUGUAAAGCCCUUUUGUUGGGAAAGAAAAGCAGCAGGUUAAUACCCCGCUGUUCUGACGGUACCCAAAGAAUAAGCACCGGCUAACUUCGUG
rnacentral:rRNA from 1 species